rnacentral:lncRNA from 13 species
AAUUGUCUCGAGCCGCGCCGCGCAAAUCAGUUGCUAAGUUCAUAUUGUUGCCGUCGCCGUCGACACGUAGCCGCCUCGCGACCGUGCGUUCCAGCUUUUUCGCAUCAUUUCCGAUUUCCGGGUGUGACGACCGUCGCGUUGCGAUAAUCAGCGCGAGUGUUUUGUCAAGUGCCAUGGAUGUGCAACAGGGGAGGGACGAGAGGAAAGGAGGUGGUGGCCCAGCGUGGCACCGAUAAACGGCGAAGCAACUCUUGGAUUAAUGUAGCUGUGUUACAACUUUGAUGCUGCGUAUCGGUCUGUAUCACCGCAGCUUAGUAGCUGAGUAGCUGAGUAACUCCGCUCGUUGUGCAUCGGAUCGUAUUACGGCAGCUUCGUGGCUGAAUAACUCCGCUCGUUGCGCAUCGGGUCGGUGAGUCAAAAACAAUUUUUAUUUUCUUAUUUUAAUGUUGUGUAAAUAUCCUGCGAGGGGUAA